rnacentral:rRNA from 1 species
GCAAGUCGAGCGGUAACAUUUCUAGCUUGCUAGAAGAUGACGAGCGGCGGACGGGUGAGUAAUACUUAGGAAUCUACCUAGUAGUGGGGGAUAGCUCGGGGAAACUCGAAUUAAUACCGCAUACGACCUACGGGAGAAAGGGGGCAACUUGUUGCUCUCGCUAUUAGAUGAGCCUAAGUCGGAUUAGCUAGAUGGUGGGGUAAAGACUCACCAAGGCGACGAUCCGUAGCUGGUCUGAGAGGACGAUC